rnacentral:lncRNA from 1 species
UUCGACCUUGGUCCAGUCGAGCAUUCUUCCGCCCACGUCAAGCAUCGCGCGGUCAUUCUGCUCGGAAAUCUCUUUUCCGUUUCGAUUCGCCUGCUUAUGAAGCUCUCGGUCACUCGAGAUUCCCGGGGAAGGAAGUUCGAAAGGUUUUUACUCCGGUUCCGGCUCAUUCUCGACUCGCGGAAGAGACCACGAGGAAGUUCGGCUGGCACCGAGUUGGAGAAAAGAAAAAUUAUCACGCGUUAUUAAAACGUCCCAGAGACGUCGAAAAAAACGAGUUUUUCACAAUUACAUCUAGACUUUCUCAACCGACCUUCAUGUUUUAUCGCAAGUCCUUAAUGACAGUUGCGACCACCGCGGAAAACAUAGCUCCCGGUCUGAAAAAGCGCGCGGUCGCAACGCUCCCAUCGUGGAAACAACGCAUGGGUGAGCUUUCUUCUGACCGCCUUGUCAACUUUUGGCCGCCGGGAAAGCAAUUGGGGAAAUAAAAUGGCUCGAAAAGCUCAAUUCCUCAUAAUUUCGGAGCUGCAGCGAAGCGCCCGCAAGCUUUUCAUUUGAGCUGGGCGUUGACUCGCUACCGCAUCUCUUGACAUCGUGGCUCAGUGACGUUUGGAUAUUCCAUUGCUCACUGUUAAAAAAAUCAUUGCUUCGUCCAUGGGAAUACGGAAUUCACCAAUCUCCAAUGAUUGGGCUCCACCGCCGAGGCGUGGCUAAGCGGAAAACGAGUGCAGUGAUCAGCGCCGUUGGCACUAAAAUUCCAGUUGAAAAUAAAACAACAAAUAUUUCAUCGCGAUGAGUGCAGAAAAUAGUACGUGGCCACAUUUCGCGGUGCGAUGUAGAGAAAAUAUUUGUUCGAGGUACCCGCAAAAAGUCGGCUGUUCCAAUAGCAAUUGAUGUUGGGCAACCCCGUUGCCCAGCCGCACCGUUUCAGUGUUUUCAUGUGAGCGAACCGGAUCCGGACACCUUCUCCUGGAGGCGAGCGCCAUUCGCGUUGUCCCUCUCCAGCCCGCGAGGAUUCCACGUGCUUCUCAGAACAAAGGGAGCUCGAGGGAGACGAAGAGAGCGAGAUAAUGUUAAUGGCGUUGAUGUCGCAGUACGAAACAUUCGAGUCGCGCCGACCGGGGGGUUCAACUUGGCGCGAACAUCGCGAGGAGAUCGGUUCACGCUUUUCGAACAUUUAUCUCCAACAUUCCGACUCGAAAUCAGAAGACACACGAGAUUUUAAACGACUAGGAAGUCAAGAAAGUCGGGAUACUCCUCGACUGGAGUUCACGCUGAUGAAAAAUGCAGUUUAGACUUCUGAGAAAGUCAAGCACACGUAAACGUUUUCAAAUCGAUGACACUCUGAUGAAAAUGCUUGCAGUCGACACUAAAAAUACCGCAAACGAUUAGCCACUUUGCCACAAACCGUCCAUCAGACUGGAGCAGAAAAUGCGAGGAUCGAAGCCCGCCAAAAUAUCUAAAGAAAGACUUGAGGAAGCCUCCGGGGAACUGCUUUUAUUGGCCCAUGAAAAAGAUCGAGAGUUUAUUACGAAAGUAAUGUCUCGAAAUAUCGAUCGGCGUCAACCUUCUUCGGGUGGGAUAUGUUCCAAAAUAGCAUCCGGAUCGCACUUGCAGAUGAAAUUCAACGUGAUUUUCCAAAGGGGAUUGAGAAAAAAUGUUGUCGUGUGGCAACUUGCCGAAACGUCGGCAGUGUAGUUACGUGACGUUUCGUAAUUAUUCAAUUCGUGGAGUUUUCAACAGCUCCCGAGCAUUCUCAUGCCUUCGUCCGUUAUUUUCUGCAUUGAGAUAAUAUUCCUUGACGAUUGUGGCGCCACUAGCGCGAGGAAGAUGCUCGGGAAUGUCCGAGGUGAAUUCAUCCAACCGAAAUGAAUGACGUUUGGCUCAUUUUCGCAUUCCCUCCUGCCGGGGGCUGAAACACUUUCAUUUCGAUCGAUCAGUGUUGGGAAUUUCUCGUUUUCGAUACUCGGAGGGAAAUGUCCCGAGGUAGAACGGUCAGGAAACUCCCAUUCAAGAGUAAACCGACUUUCAGAUUUGUCAAUGUACCGUAAUUGUAAAAAACUAGAUGAUAUUACUCGAAAUUCAAAAUAAUUUAGGGAAAAACAUGAAUUUUUGAGAGACUCUGCAUCUUUCAACAUUUUUUUUUAGCAUCGUUCAAAUGUAAUUACGAACUUUUCACUUGGAACAAUUACGUAACUCCGAAAGUUUGUGGUAAAACGUUAUCAUUUUUGGGCACCCGUGCAACGCCGACCCAUCGUUCCACCGCUUUCAUAUUAAUUUUGCCAACAUUUCUUUGACGUUGAAAGGAAUGUGACAAAAUGAAGGGUUUGCCUGACAGGACGUGGGUGAAAAAUAGUUAUUUCAAAAACAAAUAUCACGACUUUUUUUGAUAUCCUGGAACGUUUGUCCUGACCGGAAGCCAAUGCGCGUUAAUA